UGCUAUAAGCAAGAUUCAACGAGCUAGAUAGAACAAAGAUUUCUAGUACCCAAGGGGAAGCUAAACUUGUCUAGUUUUCCACAACGAAUUUACCAAAAGAUCUACGGUUCUGAUACUAAAAUUGGUCUGAAAUCUUUUAUAAAACUAACAUGAGUUGCAGUAGCUAAAAUUGUUGUAAAUUCUGAAACUUUCUGAAAGCCAAUUUCUGUAAAACAAGAUCAAGGAAGAACAUGAAUUGAUAAGAAACUUCAAUAACCCUUGUAGUAAUUGGUUUAACAGGUUUUGACAGAGCCAUAGAAAUACUAUGUCUUUCAACUACCUGCAGCAUGUUAGAAAUAGUGAAAACUUAACUCGUUUGCGGCAACCCGGUAACACACUACGCGGAACUUCCCAGCGAGGUGUGGCCGGCAACCUAAAUUAAGCUUUGUACAAAAUGACUAGCUUCUUAUGGUAAUGGGAUUAAAACCUGUCAUCGAAGGUAAUUAGUUUCACACAUUUAUAUAUAAUGAUGAUUCCCAAAAUUUAUUAUACGAAUGUUUGUUGUAUCCUUAUAUUAUAGAAAUUAUAGAGGCAUCUAUUUUGAAACAUGGUGAUACGGAGUCUGGUGAGUCACCAUCACUCUGCUUAUUUCUGAUGCGAAGCAGUAAUGCGUUCCAGUUUGAAGCUAGGGGCAGUUGUUGUACUGUAAAAUCUAAGACUUAGAACUCAUAUUUCAAGCUAGGGCGUGACAUUUUCCUAUGGGUUCCUUCAACCGAGGUUAAAUAAUACAAAAAACUUAAGCAUGAUACAAAACAAAGACAUGUUAAAUAAUACAAUGAUUUGAUAAUGAUAUGAUAUGAUAAUAAUAAUAUGAAUAAUGAUACGAUAAACAUAAUAAAUAAUAGACUAUAAAUAAAUGAAUUCACUGGCUGAAAUACAUAUAAUUUACAGUGUUUUACUUUCUGUAAUUAAUCUGUAUUCAAAUUAAGUUUUUAGUUUUCACAAAAAAAUAGAAACAAUAGUUUUGAAUGCUUGUUUCGCGUGUAUUUAAUAUUUACUUUAUUUAGAAAAUCGAGUCUUCAGGACAACAUUUUCAUGAAAUUUUCAACCUUCUGUUGAGCACUGCUGCAGAUUCCUUUGCUGUCCCAUUUCGGGCAGUCCUGUAAUUGACAAUCUCAUAAGCGUGUUGUACAAGAUUAAAAUUACCAACUAUCGAACGUUAUCCCUCAAGUAAAUACAAAACUGAUAUAAAAAAGAA